rnacentral:rRNA from 1 species
UACGCUUGUUGGUGAGGUAUGGCUCACCAAGGCGACGACGGGUAGCCGGCCUGAGAGGGCGACCGGCCACACUGGGACUGAGACACGGCCCAGACUCCUACGGGAGGCAGCAGUGGGGAAUAUUGCACAAUGGGCGAAAGCCUGAUGCAGCGACGCCGCGUGAGGGAUGACGGCCUUCGGGUUGUAAACCUCUUUCAGCAGGGAAGAAGCGAAAGUGACGGUACCUGCAGAAGAAGCGCCGGCUAACUACGUGCCAGCAGCCGCGGUAAUACGUAGGGCGCGGAGCGUUGUCCGGAAUUAUUGGGCGUAAAGAGCUCGUAGGCGGCUUGUCGCGUCGGUUGUGAAAGCCCGGGGCUUAACCCCGGGUCUGCAGUCGAUACGGGCAGGCUAGAGUUCGGUAGGGGAGAUCGGAAUUCCUGGUGUAGCGGUGAAAUGCGCAGAUAUCAGGAGGAACACCGGUGGCGAAGGCGGAUCUCUGGGCCGAUACUGACGCUGAGGAGCGAAAGCGUGGGGAGCGAACAGGAUUAGAUACCCUGGUAGUCCACGCCGUAAACGGUGGGCACUAGGUGUGGGCGACAUUCCACGUCGUCCGUGCCGCAGCUAACGCAUUAAGUGCCCCGCCCUGGGGAGUACCGGCCGCAAGGCUAAAACUCAAAGGAAUUGACGGGGGCCCCGC